rnacentral:rRNA from 1 species
UCUGCCUACGGGGCGCAGCAGUGGGGAAUAUUGCACAAUGGGGGAAACCCUGAUGCAGCGACGCCGCGUGGGUGACGAAGUAUUUCGGUAUGUAAAGCCCUAUCAGCAGGGAAGAAGAUGACAGUACCUGACUAAGAAGCCCCGGCUAACUACGUGCCAGCAGCCGCGGUAAUACGUAGGGGGCAAGCGUUAUCCGGAUUUACUGGGUGUAAAGGGAGCGUAGACGGCAGUGCAAGUCUGGAGUGAAAGGCGGGGGCUCAACCCCCGGACUGCUCUGGAAACUGUACGGCUGGAGUGCAGGAGCG